rnacentral:lncRNA from 1 species
UCUAGGAUUUUAUGUUUUUCUCAGUUCCUAAAUUUUCGGGUCUUUUUCAGUUUUAUUUGUUAGUGUCUUUUUUUUGUUUUUAUUUUUCUUUUUCGUUAUAGUUGUUAGUUUCGUGUCUAUGGCUUUGAAAGGAUUGUUAGGAGAUUAAGGAUGCGAAGUAUGGUAACUAAAUCACUGAUGACACCUCCCAAAUUACCAGCUCAUGUAUUGUACGGAAA